CGCACCGCGCCUCACACCGCGCCCUGCCCCAGCUCAACUUCCCCUGGCCAUCCUCAGCACCCUUGGCUCCCUCGAAUCUUACAUCUCCUCAAAUCUUCUCGAACCUGCCGGGCCGCCGGCCACAGCCCCCUCAGUGCCUCGCAUGGUGUUGUUUGCACACACCUUCCCGUGCCCACCCCCAGCCCCACCGAACAGGGACGUGCUGGGGUCCCUGUCCCUGGAGGUGCUCAGGGAAGGGUGGAUGUGGCUCUCAGGGCCAUGCUCUGGUUGACAAGGUGCUGUUGGGGCACAGGUUGAGCUCGCUGAUGUCAGAGGCCUUUUCCGACCUCCAUUGAUGUCUCUGCCUCAUCAGAUCUCUUCCUGGUUGUGCCCCUCGCUGUGUUAUGGAGGACGCUGGUGGCGUGGCAGCCUCCCCACAACCCCGGGCUGGCCCUGUCAGGGGAGCUGUGCUGGGAGAGAGAACUGAGCACCUGCAGUACCCCAACAAUCACACUACAUAAAUUACACUACAUAAAUCAGAGCAUAUACCACCAAUGAUGUGGCUUCUUAAAGUUCAUUUCAAUGGAAGGAAGGAGAAAAUUCUCUGUAACUCCAGAGAUGUCAGAGGUUCACACAAAACAGUUCCUGUGUCUUUUUUUUUUUACACUUGCCACCAUCAUUUGUCAAAUGCUUCUCUACAUCAUGUAGAUGGAAAAGAAACACCACAGAAAUGAUCCCUGUGGGACCCCAGGGAUGGAUUUUCCAGGAGGGAUCGCUCCAUGCUGCUGCUGCUCUGUGUGGAACACUCUGGGCCCUGACACCAAGGUGGCUCUGUGGUCACACACCCCCUGCUCCUGGCAGGACAAAACUUUCUGCACCAUUGUCCAGAAUAACUGCUCAAGUAGUGAAAUAUUGAUUGAAGAGAAGCUUCACUUACUGGCAGAGCUGCAGACUUGCUUUCACUGUCAGUUCUAGUUCCUCUCCUCUGCCUUUGUCACGUUACUUCACGUUCCAGCUCCCUCCUUCUGAGCACAGAUUUGAUUUUUACUGCAAUUUCUGGAAAUUGCAGAAAAGUAACACCCACUGGGCAGAGGAAGCUGAAGCCAAACUUUUAUCAGAGUCCCCGGCUGAGGAAAUGGCACAGCCAUGGCCCUGCCUGAGGCAGGAGGAUGGCCCAGACAGCCACCUGAGCUUCCACAAAACGUGAGCAGUGAAGCCUUUUACCGUCCCUGUUAGUCCAAAAUUCAGCCUGAAAUUUCAUAUAACCUUUUAGUUUCAGUGUUUUACUCCUCCUGAAGAAUCUUAAUGAAUCAGUUCUGAAAAAAUCCCAGGCACUGAAGUGCUCAGUUUGACCCAAGAAGACAACAGAUGCUGUUUCAAAUUGUGACUGCGACUCAGAUCCUCCUUUGAGCUCUGCUUUCCACUCCUGCCUGUGUCAAUUUACUUGAUUUAUCAUCAAAAGAUCAAUCAAUUGAUCCUGCCUGUUUUCUCUGUGUUUAAUUACUUAUGCUAUUAUUUUCUAUUUAAGGUACUGGGAGGUGAGAAGAACCCUGGCUGGGGAAGACCAUGUGCUUCUACCCAAAUCCCCCUUCAUGUGUGAUGCCUCUGGCUCCUAUGAUCCCCCUUCUCCUUUUAUUUCAGCUCUGAAAAGCAGUGGACAACUUGGUUUGGACCUUCUCAAGUCCAUCAUCACCACUAAGAAGCAGAACUACUACAACAGAGGAAACUCUGAGAAACUGGAGCUGACAAUAAUCACUGCUAAAACCUGCAAAGGAGCUGGCCAGACAGCAGCACUGGGAACAAGCUGUGGGGGGAGAAGCCACACUGGGAACUACAAAGGCCCCACUCUUGCAGGGUCUGGGCUGCAGGGGAGGGGAGCAAAGCAAAGCUUUUUGUCCCUCUGAGCUCCUCCUCUUCAAUGCAGCAAGCUGAAGGGAAGUGAAUGGGGAAGUGUCACAGUGAGAAUUCCUGAGAAAUUCCAUCUCUGUGAGAGUAAAAUUUUCCAUGCUUUGUUUCA